GUCUCCUGUAGCUAAUCAAUGAACUUGAGCUUACAGUACAAACACUGUAAUACAAAUAUAAGACGAGAAGACCCUGUGGAGCUUAAAGCUACUACAUUAACUUAAUACCACGACCAUUAUGAGUAUAAUGUAAACUUUAAGUUGGGGCGACUAUGGAGUAAAAAAAACCCUCCAUGCAACACGACUAAAACUCGCCAUUCUAGGCCAACAAGCCAAUCCAAAAAGACCCAGUAAAACUGACUAUCGAACCAAGUUACCCCAGGGAUAACAGCGCCCUCCCCUUAAAGAGUUCACAUCGCCAAGGGGGUUUACGACCUCGAUGUUGGAUCAGGACU
rnacentral:rRNA from 1 species